GACGAACGCUGGCGGCACGCCUAACACAUGCAAGUCGAACGGAGAAAAUAGCUUCGGUUGUUUUCUUAGUGGCGGACGGGUGAGUAACACGUGAGGAACCUGCCUCUGAGAGUGGGAUAGCUUCUGGAAACGGAUGGUAAUACCGCAUAACAUAGCGAAACCGCAUGAUUUUGCUAUCAAAGUAUUUCGCUCAGAGAUGGCCUCGCGUCUGAUUAGAUAGUUGGUGAGGUAACGGCUCACCAAGUCGACGAUCAGUAGCCGGACUGAGAGGUUGAACGGCCACAUUGGGACUGAGACACGGCCCAGACUCCUACGGGAGGCAGCAGUGGGGGAUAUUGCACAAUGGGGGAAACCCUGAUGCAGCGAUGCCGCGUGGAGGAAGAAGGUUUUCGGAUUGUAAACUCCUGUCGUAAGGGAAGAGGAAGGACUGUACCUUACAAGAAAGCUCCGGCUAACUACGUG
rnacentral:rRNA from 1 species